CCCUUAGAUGUUCUGGGCCGCACGCGCGCUACACUGAUGGAUUCAACGAGUGUUGUUCUUCGGAGCAGAUCCUUGGUCGGAAGGCCUGGGCAAUCUUGUAAAUGUCCAUCGUGAUGGGGCUAGAUUUUUGCAAUUCUGAAUCUCCAACGAGGAAUUCCUAGUAAACGCAAGUCAUCAGCUUGCAUUGAUUACGUCCCUGCCCUUUGUACACACCGCCCGUCGCUCCUACCGAUUGAAUGAUCCGAUGAAUAUCAUGGAUUGAGGAUGCAAGCAGGUUCGCCUGUCUUCAUCUUCGAGAAGUGAAGUAAAUCUUAUCAUUUAGAGGAAGGAGAAGUCGUAACA
rnacentral:rRNA from 1 species